CAGAGUGAAGUUAGGGUUUUUCAAAAUUUUGACACGCCGAGCUCAAAAGGUUCGCCAUCGCCGGGCGAAGCGGAAGGAGGUACUGCAACUGCGGCGCUCCGCCAGGAGGUGAGGCUCCCGCGCUGUCUGCCUGCUGGCGCCCCCAUCACUGCGUUUCACUUAAUCUUCACAGUAACUGUUCCCUCCUAGAGUCUAAGGUUCAGUAACUGAAGGGUAACGAGCUGUGCGCUUCUCCUGCAGCUUCUACGGAAGGAAGCCGGGAAGAGCCGGGAAGAGCCGGGAAGAGCCGGGAAGAGCCGGGAAGAGCCGGGAAGAGCCGGGCGGUCUCACAGGCCUGGCGGGGCGGCAGAACACUGUCCAUACCCUUGAGCAAGGGGUUCAGUCUGAGCUCUGGCCUCCAACGUCGGCUGCCAUCCUCACCGUCUUCGCACACUGCUGCCAGCAGGGUGGCUCAGCUGUGCUCCCCACACACAGUCCUCCACACAGCAAGCAUGUCAAACUCAAAGGCUAACACAGGCCAAAUAAACAAGAAAGGACAUUCUAACCUGGCUGGGAGUUGAACGCCCCCAGGACCUGGAAGCCAACCUUUGAAUGCGGUCCAUUCUCAUUCAAGAACUGCCUAUUAACAUGGAAAGAUGAACAACCUUGUUGCCCAAACAAUGCAGUUCCACCCCAACCUGCAUAGCCCCAUGCCUGUAACCCAUACUUCCCCAUGUAAUCUCCCUCCCACCCUAUAUAAGCAGCUGGUUUGUGGUGGGGAACAGAGCAGAUUUCUGU